rnacentral:rRNA from 1 species
AGUAAAAAAUCGUAACAAGGUUUCCGUAGGUGAACCUGCGGAAGGAUCAUUACCGAGUGAGGGCCCUUUGGGUCCAACCUCCCACCCGUGUUUAUUUUACCUUGUUGCUUCGGCGGGCCCGCCUUUACUGGCCGCCGGGGGGCUUCACGCCCCCGGGCCCGCGCCCGCCGAAGACACCCUCGAACUCUGUCUGAAGAUUGAAGUCUGAGUGAAAAUAUAAAUUAUUUAAAACUUUCAACAACGGAUCUCUUGGUUCCGGCAUCGAUGAAGAACGCAGCGAAAUGCGAUACGUAAUGUGAAUUGCAAAUUCAGUGAAUCAUCGAGUCUUUGAACGCACAUUGCGCCCCCUGGUAUUCCGGGGGGCAUGCCUGUCCGAGCGUCAUUGCUGCCCUCAAGCCCGGCUUGUGUGUUGGGCCCCGUCCUCCGAUUCCGGGGGACGGGCCCGAAAGGCAGCGGCGGCACCGCGUCCGGUCCUCGAGCGUAUGGGGCUUUGUCACCCGCUCCGUAGGCCCGGCCGGCGCUUGCCGAUCAACCCAAAUUUUUAUCCAGGUUGACCUCGGAUCAGGUAGGGAUACCCGCUGAACUUAAGCAUAUCAAAAGGCGGAGGAA